rnacentral:rRNA from 1 species
UGAAUUAAGGAAGCGAAGAAGCGGAGGUGUCCGAAUGGGGGAACCCGGCAGCAGACAUGAGCUGUCAUCUGCAGGUGAAUACAUGGCCUGCAAGAGAGGUACCCGGCGAACUGAAACAUCUAAGUAGCCGGAGGAAAAGAAAACAACAGUGAUUCCCUGAGUAGCGGCGAGCGAAAGGGGAGAAGCCCAAACCGGUCCGAGGACCGGGGUUGAAGGACCAUGAUAUGGCAAGAACGAGGAUAGGAGAACGGGAUCGAAAGCCCGGCCGAAGAAGGUGAAAGCCCUGUAACCGAAAUCCGAGUAAAGCCUAAUGGGAUCCUGAGUACGGCGAGACACGAGGAAUCUUGUCGGAAGCAGGCGGGACCAUCCGCCAAGGCUAAAUAUAAACGAGUGAGCGAUAGUGAACCAGUACCGUGAGGGAAAGGUGAAAAGAACCGCGGGAGCGGAGUGAAAGAGAACCUGAAACCGUAUGCCUACAAGAAGUCAGAGCCCGUUAAGGGGUGAUGGCGUGCCUUUUGUAGAAUGAACCGGCGAGUUGCGACAGACUGCGAGGUUAAGGAGGAAAGACCGGAGCCGAAGCGAAAGCGAGUCUUAAGAGGGCGAAAGUAGGAUGUUGCAGACCCGAAACCGGGUGAUCUAGCCAUGAGCAGGUUGAAGUUGAGGUGAAACUCAAUGGAGGACCGAACCGACUACCGUUGAAAAGUUAGCGGAUGACUUGUGGCUAGGGGAGAAAUUCCAAUCGAACCCGGAGAUAGCUGGUUCUCCCCGAAAUAGCUUUAGGGCUAGCGUCGGAAAGAACCUUAGUGAAGGUAGAGCACUGAAUGUGUGAUGGCCCCAUCCCGGGGUACUGAAUACAAUCAAACUGCGAAUGUCAUUAAGGAUGUCCGGCAGUCAGACUGUGAGUGAUAAGGUCCAUGGUCAAGAGGGAAACAGCCCAGACCGCCAGUUAAGGUCCCAAAAUACAGGCUAAGUGGAAAAGGAUGUGGGGAUGCCCAGACAACUAGGAGGUUGGCUCAGAAGCAGCCAUCCUUUAAAGAGUGCGUAACAGCUCACUAGUCGAGUGACCCUGCGCCGAAAAUGUACCGGGGCUAAGCCUGAUACCGAAACUGCGGAUUGUAGGAAACUAUAGUGGUAGGGGAGCGUUGUAUACGAGUGGAAGCCGUACCGUGAGGAGCGGUGGAUUGUAUAGAAGUGAGAAUGCCGGUGUGAGUAGCGAGAUGUAGGUGAGAAUCCUACACACCGAAAGCCCAAGGAUUCCAGGGGAAGGUUCGUCCGCCCUGGGUAAGUCGGGACCUAACGCGAGGCCGAAAGGCGUAGUGGAUGGAAAGCAGGCGAAAGAUUCCUGCACCCGUAUAUGGAGCGAAGGAGUGACGGAGACGGAUAGUGUGACCCUCUUAAUGGAUUGAGGGCGAAGCGAAGCGGCUGGUUACCAGGCAAAUCCGGUAACCGAAAAGGCUAGAGCGUGACAGGUAAGCGAAAUCUUAGGAAAGUAGCGAAGCACAUGAUGACGGCUUCCAGGAAAAGCUUCUGGCAAUGCAUAUGCGGCCCGUACCAAAACCGACACAGGUGGGCAGGGAGAGAAUCCCGAGGUGAGCGAGAGAACUGUUGCCAAGGAACUCGGCAAAAUGACUCCGUAAGUUAGCGAGAAGGAGUGCUUAAGCAAUUAAGCCGCAGUGAAGAGGCCCAAGCGACUGUUUAACUAAAACACAGCUCUCUGCGAAGUCGCAAGACGAAGUAUAGGGGGUGACACCUGCCCGGUGCUGGAAGGUUAAGAGGAUCUGUUAAGAGCGAUCUGAAGCAGUGAUCCGAAGCCCCAGUGAACGGCGGCCGUAACUAUAACGGUCCUAAGGUAGCGAAAUUCCUUGUCAGGUAAGUUCUGACCCGCACGAAAGGUGUAACGAUUUGGGCGCUGUCUCGGCAGCAGACUCGGUGAAAUCUUAGUACCUGUGAAAAUGCAGGUUACCCGCAACUAGACGGAAAGACCCCAUGGAGCUUUACUGCAGCCUGAUAUUGAAUUCUGGUCAUACAUGUACAGGAUAGGUGGGAGACAAAGAGACGUGCACGCCAGUGUACGAGGAGUCGCUGUUGGGAUACCACUCUUGUGUGACCGGGGUUCUAACCUGGUAUCGAGAACAGGUACGGGGAGAGUGUCAGGUGGGCAGUUUGACUGGGGCGGUCGCCUCCCAAAGAGUAACGGAGGCGCCC